UGAGUAACCUGCCCUUAACUCUGGGAUAAGCCUGGGAAACUGGGUCUAAUACCGGAUAUGACUCCUCAUCGCAUGGUGGGGGGUGGAAAGCUUUAUUGUGGUUUUGGAUGGACUCGCGGCCUAUCAGCCUGUUGGUGAGGUAAUGGCUCACCAAGGCGACGACGGGUAGCCGGCCUGAGAGGGUGACCGGCCACACUGGGACUGGGACACGGCCCAGACUCCUACGGGAGGCAG
rnacentral:rRNA from 1 species